UUCAUUCGCGUCUCGACGUAGGCGUGGGACGAGGUCGAGCGACGGGACGCGUUCUUCGGAACGGGUCUCGCGCCCUUCGUUCUUCGAACCGACGGCGAACGCGUGCACUUUUCUCCUGGUAGGACGUCGCGAUCCGUCGGGUGUCGGUCUACGACUCGCGGUGGAGACCGCUCGUAUCGUCUCGUUACGUACGAACGGACCCGCCUGUUCCGGCCGACUCGCUCGACGGUAUACGUAAGGUCGGAGGCCGCUCGUCUUUAGAAGCGUUCGACUCGUCGCAAGCGCGCCACGUGCGUCGGCACGCGGACCCGGUGCCGCGUCCGACCUCUGGUGACUGUUGGCGACGAUGUUCUCGGACAGACCUCCGCUUCUCUUUGAGAAUGCGUGACCGAUCGGCGACGCUAUAGCUUUGGGUACUUUCAGGACCCGUCUUGAAACACGGACCAAGGAGUCUAGCAUGUGCGCGAGUCAUUGGGAAUAUCACUAAACCUAAAGGCGUAAUGAAAGUGAAGAUCUUCCCAGCGAAGAUCGAGGGAAGACGGACGAGAUUUAAACCCUUCGAAAGUGGGGAUCGUCCUGCAUUCCCGGGGCGUCUCGUUCACAUCGCGUGAAGAGGCGCACCAAGAGCGUACACGCUGGGACCCGAAAGAUGGUGAACUAUGCCUGGUCAGGACGAAGUCAGGGGAAACCCUGAUGGAGGUCCGUAGCGAUUCUGACGUGCAAAUCGAUCGUCGGAACUGGGUAUAGGGGCGAAAGACUAAUCGAACCAUC
rnacentral:rRNA from 1 species